UACGGGGGGGGCAAGCGUUGUUCGGAAUUACUGGGCGUAAAGGGCUCGUAGGCGGCCAACUAAGUCAGACGUGAAAUCCCCCGGCUCAACCAGGGAACUGCGUCUGAUACUGGAUGGCUUGAGUUUGGGAGAGGGAUGCGGAAUUCCAGGUGUAGCGGUGAAAUGCGCAGAUAUCAGGAGGAAUACCGGUGGCGAAGGCGGCAUCCUGGACCGGCAUUGACGCUGAGGAGCGAAAGCUAGGGGAGCAAACGGG
rnacentral:rRNA from 1 species